AUUGAACGCUGGCGGCAGGCCUAACACAUGCAAGUCGAACGGUAACAGGAAGAAGCUUGCUUCUUUGCUGACGAGUGGCGGACGGGUGAGUAAUGUCUGGGAAACUGCCUGAUGGAGGGGGAUAACUACUGGAAACGGUAGCUAAUACCGCAUAACGUCGCAAGACCAAAAAGGGGGACCUUCGGGCCUCUUGCCAUCGGAUGUGCCCAGAUGGGAUUAGCUAGUAGGUGGGGUAACGGCUCACCUAGGCGACGAUCCCUAGCUGGUCUGAGAGGAUGACCAGCCACACUGGAACUGAGACACGGUCCAGACUCCUACGGGAGGCAGCAGUGGGGAAUAUUGCACAAUGGGCGCAAGCCUGAUGCAGCCAUGCCGCGUGUAUGAAGAAGGCCUUCGGGUUGUAAAGUACUUUCAGCGGGGAGGAAGGGAGUAAAGUUAAUACCUGUGCUCAUUGACGUUACCCGCAGAAGAAACACCGGCUAACUCCGU
rnacentral:rRNA from 1 species